rnacentral:lncRNA from 1 species
GCCUCGGUUUCAGGCACUUGGGAGUGUGACUUGGUGCUACACUGAGUCAGCAGGCAGCAGAAGGGGCGGAGGAGAGCGCGUGUGUCUAAGAACAUUCAGUUUCAGGAAUGGGAGACAGCCAGCUGGCCCAGCCUGGCAACGCUCUUUUUAGGCGAUUAUUGUUCAGCAACCGUAGAGUACAGGUUGAGAUUUUGCAGUCAUUCCAACACACACACAAAAGGGAUAAUAGAGCCAGAGAGAGAGAGAGAGAGAGAGAGAGAGAGAGAGAGAGAGAGAGCCGCCACAUCAAAUGCAAUUAGCACUGAAGAACAGACAGGGUUUUCACCAGGUAGCCUCAACUUUCCCUGCCUUCUAUGCUUGACAGAUAUAAUAGAUAUCAGUGCUAAAGUUUAAACAUCUAUUAAAGGGCAGGCAAGAUGGCUUAGUGGGUAAAGGAGCUUGUGCCAAGCCUAAAAACUGUAGUUCAACCCUCAGAAUCCACGUGGUGAGAGAAUUGACCCUGCAAAUUGUUUUCUGACCUCCAGAAGUUCAGUGACACACACACACACGCACACACGCACACACACACACACACACGCGCACACACGCACACACGCACACACAUACAAACAAAAAACAAUCAAAAUCAAAACCAAAAAAAUGUAAAAUCAACUUAUAAAACGUAACUUAAUAGAAUAAAUAAAAUGUCUUGUAUGCAUGUGAUAAAUUUUCAGGACAAAGUCACAUUAUAAAGAGUGACAUCCUGGGAAAUUUGCCCUGUUAUAUGACCGAAUGUCCUGCUGUGUCUGCUUUGAGUCCCAAACUUGGAGACAUGGGAACAUGUUUGUUUUACCACACGCUUCUGGCUUCACAUUGAAUGCUUGUCUUCUUAGACUAUGAGGUUUAGGAGUCGAGGACACUGAGCAGGCCUACCAAGAAAUCUGUGUGGGGGUCCCCUGAGCAAUGAGCCUCUCACACAGUUAUCUCCUGGCGAGUUCUGCCCUCUCACGGCGACACUCCCACCAUCUGGCUGCUGAAAUAUUUAGAAAGGAAUUGUAAUAUUUGACUAACUUGGCUCACAGCAUCUGAUAAAACAAACUCGAAGAGGGAACUAGUAAAUCUGAGUUCAGCUGGGUGAGAAAAGGAUUCUUUAGUUCCUUGGCCGCUGCCACAGAGCCGAGGGGCAAUUCAGCUCCCAGGAUGCUCCACAGACACACCACAUGCUCCUCCCUGGCCGCAGCCAGCAAUGCAGUGCAGUUGAAACCUCCCCUUGCUAUUGGGCCUGGCUCUUUCCUUUCUGUGGGGGGCACUGCAGAGGGGCUUUCCCCAUAUCAGGUCUGCAGCCAGACAUUGCAUCAUGAACAACAGCAUUCACACACCAAGGGGCAUACACUGAAACAGAACAGAUGUGGGGGAAAAAAAAAAAAAAAAAAAAAAAAAAACCUCCGUGUGGGUGCCGAGUGAGCCAGACACUGUUGGGAAAUGUUCCGGAGCGUCCCAUCCUUUGUGGGUGAUGGAUUCCAGUGACAGGAUGAAUCUCAGAUGGCGGUACCCAGAAGAGACAGCCAGACCUAUCUUUGGACUGGAAGUUAGAGUCAGCUCCAGGGGUUAGCUGGGAAGAGGCACAGGUGGUUUCAGAUCAGUAUACGCAGCUGUCAGAGGAAGGCACCCAGCCUACUAUGUACUGUUUCUAAUAGCUAAUGGCUAACUCCUGCCGAGGCUAAGCUAAGAGUCUGAGAGAUGCAAAACCAUCCCAAGAGCCCUCCCAGGCAUAAAGAUUUCUAGGUUUAACUUGUGAAGUCAGGAUGCUUCCACUUCAUGCAGAUAGAAACUGAGUACUAGCUGUGUUGUGUAUACUUCAGAACUCAUUGGGUUACGUCUAUCAUUGAUUCUCUGAAUGAUUGUUGGCAAAUCCCCUAAGUUCCGUGCGAUUCAAUUUCUUUCUAUAAAGAUGGGAAUAAUAAAAAGGCCUUAAAUAAUGAUAAGGGUAAAUAGGACUGUGCUGUAUUCAUGGCGAUCCUCAACAAAUUAGGGAUACUUUUGUUACAAUGGAAACCUUGUGCUUUUUUACAAACUAUGGGCUUAACAUGGGCUCCGUUUCACAAAACAAUUUGAGUUUGCCAGAAGUAGGUAGAAAGCAACUGACAAUUCAUAAUGAACUGAGUUAAAAGGAACACACAGAGCAGAACUUGAGAUUACCCCUAAACCUCACAGUCCAUAGAGAUCAGAGAUAAUGUAUACAGCAGGAAUGUUUUCUAAGGUGAAUGCAGUGUUCAGAGGGGAACCAAAGGCUGGUCAGAGCUUCCUGGCAGCCAAAGC